rnacentral:rRNA from 1 species
UACGUAGGGCGCAAGCGUUAUCCGGAAUUAUUGGGCGUAAAGAGCUCGUAGGCGGUUUGUCGCGUCUGCCGUGAAAGUCCGGGGCUCAACUCCGGAUCUGCGGUGGGUACGGGCAGACUAGAGUGAUGUAGGGGGAGACUGGAAUUCCUGGUGUAGCGGUGAAAUGCGCAGAUAUCAGGAGGAACACCGAUGGCGAAGGCAGGUCUCGUGGGCAUUAACUGACGCUGAGGAGCGAAAGCAUGGGGAGCGAACAGG